CCCACAGGCUAGCUGACUGCAUGCCCGAGGAGAACGAGCAGCCAUGUUGUAUGUUCAUACAGAUGGGCUAACGAGGCCCUAUCGUGGAGACCCAAGGGUCGGCCCUCAUCCCGAGACUCGGCCCAACGGGUCCGCACCUGAAGGAGAAGCCAUCGGGCCGAUCGAAAGACCCAGCAAGCAAGCUGCCACAACCGACCCAACAGCAACAAUAAGCCUAGCCGAGAGGAAGGCCAGAUGGGCUACGAACC
rnacentral:lncRNA from 1 species